UACGGAGGGUGCGAGCGUUAAUCGGAAUUACUGGGCGUAAAGCGCGCGCAGGCGGUUUUGUAAGAGAGAUGUGAAAUCCCCGGGCUGAACCUGGGAACUGCAUUUCUGACUGCGAGGCUAGAGUACGGUAGGGGGGGAUAGAAUUCCGCGUGUAGCAGUGAAAUGCGUAGAGAUGUGGAGGAAUACCGGUGGCGAAGGCAACCCCCUGGACCAGGACUGACGCUCAGGCACGAAAGCGUGGGGAGCAAACAGG
rnacentral:rRNA from 1 species